rnacentral:rRNA from 1 species
UGAGUAACCUGCCCUUAACUCUGGGAUAAGCCUGGGAAACUGGGUCUAAUACCGGAUAUGACUCCUCAUCGCAUGGGUGGGGGGUGGAAAGCUUUUUUGUGGUUUUGGAUGGACUCGCGGCCUAUCAGCUUGUUGGUGAGGUAAUGGCUCACCAAGGCGACGACGGGUAGCCGGCUUGAGAGGGUGACCGGCCACACUGGGACUGAGACACGGCCCAGACCUCCGUACGGGAGGCAG